CAUUAAGGCUUGCCCGCGAAGGCGGCGUAUCAGCCAACAUCAAUGUUGAAUGUCAGGCCGCCUUCGCGGGCAAGCCUCGCUC
rnacentral:misc_RNA from 1 species